GGAGAUCACUGAAGGAAGUUGUGAAAGUGAAGCCUGGAUGAUGCUGGUGAUACCAUGGCCAUGGGAUGUCUGCCAACGAGAGCUACAGGAUCAAGAUGUGACCAUUCAGCUGUUCCUGCUGUCCUGUUUGCUGAACCACCAUGGGCUCUACCCUCUGAAGCCAUAAGCCCAGUUAAACAAUUUUCUUUUAUAAGUUGCCUUGGUGUAAUGUCUGUUCUUGGUUGUCAGUUUCACUACAUCUGUUAUUAACUAAAAGCCAAAUGACUAGA